GACAGAGGUGCCAAGCGUUAGGCGGAAUCACUGGGCUUAAAGCGUGUGUAGGCGGAUGCCUAAGUACCUUGUGAAAUCCCCCCGGCUCAACCGGGGAACGGCUGGGUAUACUGGGUGUCUUGGGUCAUCUAGGGGCUGCCGGAACAAAUGGUGGAGCGGUGAAAUGCGUAGAUAUCAUUUGGAACGCCAACGGCGAAAGCAGGCAGCUGGGGAUGCACCGACGCUGAGACACGAAAGCCAGGGGAGCGAACGGG
rnacentral:rRNA from 1 species